GGAUGUGAGGGUGAUCUGGCUGAGACAUCUGUCACCCCAUUGAUCACCAGGGUUAAUUAGGCUGAUCUGGCUGACUAGGCAGCUGUCUCCUUCCUCCCUCACCACUCCAUGUGCAUCCCUCCCAAAGCUGCGUGCUCGAUCAAAGAGGAUGACCUUCCCCGACAGAGAUGUACCAUUCAUUGGUCAAGGGUACAUGGUAGCUGCGCUCCCCUGCUAGAACCUCCAAACAAGCUCAAGGUCUGUUUGAAGGAGAAUGCAGGGUGGACAAGCUUGGAAAAAAUGGACU
rnacentral:snRNA from 1 species